GACGAACGCUGGCGGCGUGCCUAAUACAUGCAAGUCGAACGCAGUGGGGACGGGUGAGUAACACGUGGGUAACCUCCCAUCAGAGGGGAUAACACUUGGAAACAGGUGCUAAGCCGAUACUGAUGGAUGGACCCGCGGUGCAUUAGCUGGUUGGUGAGGUAACGGCUCACCAAGGCCACGAUGCAUAGCCGACCUGAGAGGGUGAUCAGCCACACUGGGACGGAGACACGGCCCAGACUCCUACGGGAGGCAGCAGUGGGGAAUCUUCGACAAUGGACGAAAGUCUGACCGAGAAACGCCGCGUGUGUGAAGAAGGUUUUCGGAUCGUAAAACACUGUUGUUAGAGAAGCGUUAUCUAACCAGAAAGCCCCGGCUAACUACGUGCCAACCGCCGCGGUAAUAC
rnacentral:rRNA from 1 species